AUUGCCUCUUGAAUAACCGAAAGGAGCAAGGCAUGCUUCCGCCGUUUGGUUCAGACAGAGGCGCAAAAUAAGUGAGUGUCUCUCUCUCCCCGAAUCUGUUCGAGGGAAAGGAACUAAUUAUCCAUUUCCCUGGACCUUUCCUAUAGGUAGCUUCGGAUAUCU